UUCGUCACACUAUCAUUAACUGAAUCCAUAGGUUAAUGAGGCGAACCGGGGGAACUGAAACAUCUAAGUACCCCGAGGAAAAGAAAUCAACCGAGAUUCCCCCAGUAGCGGCGAGCGAACGGGGAGGAGCCCAGAGCCUGAAUCAGUGUGUGUGUUAGUGGAAGCGUCUGGAAAGGCGCGCGAUACAGGGUGACAGCCCCGUACACAAAAAUGCACAUGCUGUGAGCUCGAUGAGUAGGGCGGGACACGUGGUAUCCUGUCUGAAUAUGGGGGGACCAUCCUCCAAGGCUAAAUACUCCUGACUGACCGAUAGUGAACCAGUACCGUGAGGGAAAGGCGAAAAGAACCCCGGCGAGGGGAGUGAAAAAGAACCUGAAACCGUGU
rnacentral:rRNA from 1 species